UCAAUGUAACCCAAUCGCUCUUAGCAUUCGUUUAGAACAGAAUUGGGGAACGGGGGGGGGGGGAGAGAUAUUAUUCGAAUAAUACGUUUUCGUGAUGAACGUUGCGUCUCGUCUUGAUGGAUUUGUGUCGGUCGAGUCAUGGUUAUUUAUUAAUAUUUUAUGUAUGAGAAGGAAUGAUGAUUUCUAAGAAUCGGUUAUUAGCGAAUAAUUUCGUGUUAGAUUUAUGUAUAUCAGAAAUACUGAGAGCUUGCGUGACGAUAUAUUGCUGAACUAAACCAAUGUCUUGUUUAUUAUUCCGAACGAAAACAAUGUAAGCGGAAUCCAUACGUUACUCCGAUACUAAGAAAUGUCGUUGAGGCGAUCGUUGCCUUGUCUAAGAAUAUUUAGAGAUUCCUCAUUCGGCCUCAAUAGCAUAAACCUAGUUUGUUGACAGUUGAGCGAUAUUUGAACAUAACAGCCGUUAUGUUCAGAUUCAGACACGAGAACAUAAAUCACCGUGCGAGAACGGUCUUGGUCGUUUGCGAACGAGCAGUUCGAAACCGGAGCUCCGCAAAACCGGACGUUGCGUAUCGAUCCUAUUUUAAAGGCCGUACCAUCCUGCACGGUUACGAGUCUGACACUUAGCAGAUCGUGAAAUCGAGAUCCGGAGUAUCUUUCUUGACCGCGGGCGUCGUAAAACGUGUGCCCCAGCUUCACUUGCCCCGUGAUCAUCGAAAAGCCAAACGCUCCUCUAAUAGGCCUUAUCGAUUUUCUUUUUUUGUCGCGCGCCGCAUCUCUUCGCCUGUCCAUCGGGAGGAAGAGCUUUCUCUCCGUGUGCUAAGUCGUGUGAACAAGGUUUGCGCUGAGCGUUAAGUCGGACGGCGUUUUCUUCCUCAAAGUCGAGGCUCGAACGACGUAGUCCCGUACGCUCAGAAUUCUCCAUUCGAUCCCGCAAAUGGAAGUCAGAUGAGGUACGAGAAGUUCUCUCCCGCGAUCGGACAAUAAAACCGACCUGGAUGAGCGAGCUGCUCAGCGGAUCGUGACUUUACGACCAAAGCUUUUUAUAGACCAACGUUGAUUCAAAUGUCCCGACACGUUCGACGCCGCGACGAGCAAAUGAAUAAUUUCGAUGGAGAACCGUUCCUUCGCGGAAUUAAAGUUUCGUAGUUCAAAUCAAUUUGCGGCACACAAUGCCCCAAUUAGCGGAGAACAAGGUGGAAAACGGACUUUACGAAACAUGUUAACGAGGUCUGAGAUCCAGAAGCGGUCGGGGACAACUUUAGUUAACGCCGAUUGUAGCCAGUUUAAUUUUCUUUCGCUCGCGCCUCUGUUGGUAUCCCACAACGGGCUUUCCCGAAGGAUUAAUUCGAUCCUUGCCGCAUUAAAUCCUCCGAACUGUUCACAGAAUUUGGAGGACGCAGUCGUAGAACGAAGACACAUAAUGAAUCUUCCUUAUCUCGAUCCGUCCCUCAAUCGAUCGCUAAUAAUAAUCUAACGGUGACGCACGUCGGUCGAUGUAUACAUAUGUUCAAAGGCCUUGAACGUCUUACAUUAAAUUGGCCCUUAAUUUUAGCUGUCGCAUAAUUACGCGACGCGGAGACACAAUUAAUUACAGGAUGCACACAUAGAGGCAAUGUUUAUUGUACCUGACGCGCAAUCGCUUCCUCUCUUCCGUUCGGUUAUUCCUCCUUCCCUUUUCCGUAUACGUAAAUGGGCCAGAGAAGUAUAUCGCACAUUUUUCUUUCAACGCUUUUCGAUGAGCUUUUAAUUAUUUUUCUCUCGUCUUUAAUAUGCAAAUAGUAUACUGCAAAACACUCGAAGGAAACAAUUACGUGAUCGUUUGUUAUUCAAGUGAGAAAAAAUAUUUUUUUUAUCACAUUUUUUUUCAUUAUGCCAAUAUUUAGGUAUUCCGGCGACAGCUGUUGCUAGAAGGGAGUGCAAUCGGUACUCUCAAAGGCAUUCUACGAUCCGAUACCUAUACUAGCACGGGUUAUAAAAUAUCCGCAAAAAUAGAUUAACGCCGUGACCAUGGCGAUGGUGGCAUGUAAUUUACAUGCCGUGCAAAAAUAGUACAAAAAUAAACUGUUUUUAGCGCACCUUUGCCUGUUCACACCCGCGGUUUAUGCGGUAAGCACACAGGGCGGAAGACAUAAAAAUAACAAGGCUGGUGUAAUUCCUCUUCGUUGAAAUUUCGAUCGUAAGCUUGAAUUUUGCGAACGAAAGAUGUUAUAUCCAAUAAUGAAAGAUGUUAAGUAACCGUGUAAGGGCGCAGAAUAAAAUAACUUUUUUUUUUUAAAUCGACGAAGGGUGGGUACUUCUCGCGGAGUCGCUUUCAUCGAUAAAAAUGGAAACGCGUGACACACGCAAACAAUCAGCGUAAAGAAGUUUAAAAGUAUCAUGACGUAAGUGCUCCUCAUUACGAAAAUGAAUGAUGUCAAUAAAGUGACCAGCGGCAAUUAGUAAGUUAUUUGUUAAGAGUCAGUAAUGAUUCCACGUGUAUUUUUAAAAUUUACAAUAAAAAAGAUUAGAUUAAUUCUCGAAUUUCAAAAUUCCAAACAGAUGCCUCGCACGGAAUUCUCUCUUACGACCUGUACCGCACAGUUGUACAUGUCGCACAUAAAUAAUGCGCGGACAAUAUUAUAAUAUAUUACAUGCCGAGAUGAUGUACACUCGCGCAGGUAUACGUAAGUGUAGAAAUGAUAACAUUCAACGAUCGCGUGUUAUAUUUCGCUGUAACCGCAAAAUACGUUUACUAACAGUGACGGGAAACCAAGCCGCUUCGAUCAUCGAAUUGGCACGAACUCGAAAGAGUAAAUACGAUGACUCGUCGUAAAUAAUUAUAUCAAGACGUUGAACGAUGAAAAAAAAAGACACAACAAAAGCUGGCAUUGGAACGCGAUGUUGUUACGCUGCGAAGUCAUUGUUCACGACGCGAUGCUUAAACGCCUGAACUCCAUUUGCAGACGAAUUAUCGAGGAAAACUUAUCCGAAAACAGAGCAGAAUCACUCCAGCGCCACAUGACCACGUUAUAAUCUACACACUGGUCCAUCGCUUUUUUUUUUUAAUCAUCAUCAUUUUUAUAUCAUUUCGAGAAGGGAGAUAUUUUUUGUAUGAAGAGAUAACGUGGAGGUAGGAUUUCGUUCUUAUCUGAAGGAACUGAGUCAUCGGCGACGUCUCCGUUUCAUCACAUCACCUGAGUGGGACUCGCUCGAAAUAAUAUGGUUUGCAUAAGAUUGGAAAAAAAAAAAAGUACGAUAAAAGCGUGUUUAUCCGCGAUAAGCGAAGCAGAGCACUCGUCAUUCGGUUACAUAUGCUGUGUAGCGCAAGUGGUACACUUGCACUUCUCCCUGUAUCUGGCGAGCGUUUCCGAUCCGAGCGCGGUGAAUUCGACUGAGAUGUAGAUUGGAAAUUCUCCGGCUCUUCGUAAACGCGGUCGUUGACUUCGGCAACAGGAGCGCAACCACGAUAUUUCGACGCUAGCGAAUCGAUUAUGCGAAUCGCGAUCUACGUUCGAGCGUAAACGAUUGAGAUUCGAAUAAAGUAGCAUGAGAACAGAUAUUAAAUUUCUCUGAGCAAAUAGAUUUGUAGAGAUAAACAAUUUAUAGAAAGGUGUUUCUCAUUUAUGUCGUAUUUUCUAAUGAUUUGGAAGUCACUGUGUUCUAUCUGCUUGCAUGAUUUUCAAUUCAAUUACAACGCACAGACUAUUACUAGAAAAAGGAUCUGAAUUUAUUAUGUGUGCAUAUGCGACGUCUAAAUUUGCUAAGUAAUCACAUCCCUUCAUAAUUAAUCGGUUUGUUCGAACGAAUUUCCAGUGAGUUUCGGUAUUAAAUACGAUAUCAUUGGCUUACACGUGUAAGGUCAAAUUCCAAAACUUCAUCAAACUUUUAUGGUCGACGACGAAACCGAAUGAUUACAAGUUUCUUGAUUAUUAAACUAAUUAUAAAGACGUUAGUCUUUUUUUAGAAAUUCUUGUCUUGGUCUUGUUCCUUGAUAUUGCAAUAUAAUACAAGAGUUUGGCGUACGCCCUUGGAAAAUCAAUCGCGAUCUAUUUGUAAGUUAAAUUAACAUUGCUCAUAUUGCUUCGCAACAAUAAAUGAACGCAAUCCGUUGCGUAAAUCCGUAAAACGGUUCGCUGCAUCGGAGCCAUUCCUGACUACGGCGCAUGAGUGGCACCUGUCGACGCUAAAGUGCCACUUUUGACGACGCUACCCGAAUCUUACGCGAGACUUCGGUAAACGUUAAAGUAAUCAACUUAAAGAAACACGAUACAUCGCACUUUAUCUGAAAAUAUAUGAGAUACUCGCGAGUUUAAACAGCUCGGAACAAGUGCGGCAGGUGGCUCUCAGCUAUUUGUCGUGCAAUACGCGUUAUUUGUUCGUCGAUCUGUCAAUAUUGCGUUUGUGUGGUUUUAUGACGCGCAUAAAUCAUUCCUCGAUUCGCGCAGUUUGUGCGGAAUCGUUAGUUCGUAAUGGUCUUUAACACCUGAAGCUCUUUGUUCUUCGUCUUGAAAGAUGAUCUUUUAUCGUGCCAUAAAUUACUGUCUUUAUAUAAACAGUUAUUCAAAAUUGAGAAACACCGAAUUCAAACAGAAUACAAUACAUAAGAAAUUAAAAAACGAUGUGACUUUUAAUUUUCCGUUUGUCGGAGACAAGAAAUAUCGGUUACAUUGAAAAAAGUUCUCUUGAUUUUUAUAAAAGUUUCAGAUAAUCCGUGACCCUAUUUGCAUCUCCACGUAGAGCUGAACGGACUAACGCAAAAUUCCGUUACGCAAAUCCGAGAUAUCAAACUUUCAAAGUUCCAAACUGCUCGACCGGGUCGACUCCCACUUUGAUCGAGACUUAAGUCUCACGGUAAUAGACGCGGCCGUAAGUCACGCUUUGUCAGCCGGCUGACUAAGGCGAAAACGCCCGGCGAGACGAUCUGAGCCAUCGAAGAAGUGUUCGAAGCGGAAGAGAGACCGCCGGUAGUCGCGGUUACUUGUAAAUUGUACGGGGCGCAGUGACGCGUGAAAGACGCUUUUAUCAGCCUACGAGGGGCGUUCAAGUUCUUUUGUAUCAAGAGAGAGAAAUAGAGAGAGAGAGAGAGACGGUCACGUCGACGGCGGCGUCUGUUCGCGAGGCGGCUCCCCCAGACUUGAUAUCGCCGUUGCAUCCUCGUCAUAUCCUCGUGAUACGUUGCGUCGGCGUACGAGCUAAGAAAGUACAGGCUGCGAUAAAGCGCCGUUCGAAACAGUCGUUGCACAGCUGAAGGGCGGCCGAUAUACCGUUCAUGACGUUUGACAUUCUCCGGGGAGGCGAACGCGAUAAGCCUUGAACGUUAGGAGGACACACGUCUGUAUCACACGUCACGUAUUAGUGGAAAACGCUACCUUCUCCGAUGGAUUUUUCACUGAUGGAACGUCGUUCUUUUUUCUUUCUUCGAACUUCGGUACACAAUUAUAAUAUAUACAUGUGUGUUAUUUCAAUCAAGCUUGAAUCAAUCGGUCAUUAGAACGUCAAAUCUAAUCUAAAUUGAUUCGUUUCAUUUUGCAACGUGUAGUAAAUUUCCACUUGUAAAGAGCUUCAUUGCAGCGCCGCCAGAUAAAUAAACCACGCGAUUAUUUCGUUGCCAUCAAUUCGUAUAUUAUGCACACAGCAUUGUGCCUUUAUUUAAGAAAGUGAACAUUUCCGGAUCAAUAAAGAAAUUAUUCACACACUUGGCACGGGUGCCAUAAUACAUAAUACAUAAAGUUGCAUCAGUUUGGGCGUAUUCAAGGCUUGUGCAUCGCAUAUCGUGAUUGGUUAUUCGAGGAAACAACAAAGCAGCUUGAUCUGACAGGUUUACAUUCGACAUAUGUCGAUAAAAUUAAAAAAUAAAUAACAAAUUAUGCAACUUAGAAAAAAAAUUAUGAAAUAAUUGUAGAUUUCAGUAGAAUUUAAUUCGAUACUAAUUUUGGAUUUAAUACUUAUAUUUAUACGUUACAUAAAUCAUUAACUUAUAAUAUUAUAUAUACAAGAAUUGAAUCCAAAAAACAUUAAAUGAGCGAAAAAACAUUCGAGUAUGUAAAAAGUUAAACGAAAGAAAAUGUACGAAACUGGUGCAUAUACUUUGAAAAAAUAAAAGUAUUCAAUAAAAAGUUUUAAUAAAUUAAUAAAAAGCAGAAUAAAAUGAUAUUCUACAAAAAUUUAAUUAACUUUAUUAAGUUAUAUAAAAAGCAUGUUCAAAUGAAACUACAUCCACAUCUCUGCCUGAUAUUACGUAUUUUUGCACUGUUUUUCUAUUGAAAGAAUUUUUGUUCAUUUAUCUAAUUUUCAUACAAAAUUUUUAAUAAAAACCGGUUUUAACAUAAAUAUAUAAAAUGCUUUUUGUUGUAUGAUAUUCACAGUGCAUUCAUCAUAUUGCGUUUUGAAGUAAAUAUUUCUUAUCGCGCAGUGGAAAUAUCCAUUUUGAUAUGGGAAAAUUGUCAGACGCGACGAUAAAGUCUCCCCCUCCCGGAAAACGCGGUGCAAUGACGUGCCGCUUUGUUGGGAAACGUUACGCCUCGAAAGAAUAGAUAACCAAUUGUCCGGCCAAUUCGCCUGAGCUCGGCCGAGGUCAGUUCAAUUGCCUCGAUCUUAUAGCGUUAGGUCGGACCUCACUCGCAACAAAAAAGAAGGCCCCGCUCUCGAGAUUUUCCCCCGUGGUCGGACCGGUUCGAGCACAGUGUAUUCUCUGUGCGAGAUCGCCGGACCGGAAACGGCCGUUUUCAAAGACAUUGUAGCGGCGGUACGUCUAGCGUAGAACGUAGUAGCGCUCAGAUUUUUGGCAAGGACAAUAUGCGUGGGAACGUAUAAUCCGUCUCUCUCGAGCGAGCGAGCGAUUCGGGUGUUUAAGAAAGCAGAAUUUUCACAGAAGAUAUUCGAAAACUUGUUCUAAAUAAAAGUACCAUGGGUGACAAUGAUUAAAACGAAUUAAGAUUAUCGCGUGACCAGUUCAAAUACUAUUUGCUGAGUCAUUCUCUUAGUAUCGUAUGUCUAAGCACACAGAAAGGCAUUAACUCUCCGAGGAAUGUCAUUACAUUAAUCCGGGAGUGGUCGCCAACUUCGUUACGGUGUCAUUGUUAGCGCCAAAUGCAAUUCGCUCACAAUCAAUUCUUCCAGCAAUAAGUAAAUUGUUAUAUAACGUAUUCUCGUUUACUCUCCUACAAAUAAUACAAAUGUUUUUCAAUAACGGUAUCCCUGCAUGUGCAUCGCUUUCAAUACCCUUUUUACUCAUCGCAGCGUGAAUUUUGUAAAAAAGUUUAAAAAGUUCUAUUGACACACACAUAUAUAUGUAUAUAUAUGAUUCUAGUAUUGAGUAACGUUCAAAAUAAUGACGAUUAUAAGCCAAAACAAAAUGCACAUGAAAUAUACAGGCAGAAGGGUGCUAUUAAUGCUUAAAAAAAGAGAUCGGUUCAAUAUCUCUUCAUUGCUCGGCGUGAAUCCAGGUUCACCCCCUGACCGCUGGACCGGAAACGAGUCAGCCGGAAUCAUUGGCGCGGCUACGUGGCCAGUUAUCGAUUUUUCGCGAGUAAUCUUGUUUUUUUCAUUGGAGUUUGUAGAAAAUGAAUUCCGAGCAACUUAACGAACAUAGUAAUUUAAUCACGCUAGCCCUGCGGGCUAUGCAGGAAAAAAAGACUUCCCGCGAAGUUUUUUGCGCUCCAGUUACAAGUUAGUGAACAAGGAACAAACACUGCUUUCCGAUUGUAAGCUGAUUAGCCGCUAGUACUUUCUUAUCACGGUCGAUAUUGGUAUUAGACUUUAAAUGACACGCCGCCGACCAUAACAUGUCUAUAGAACCUUUGUCUAUUUCUGUCAUUCUCUCUCUCUCUCUCUCUCUCUCUCUCUCUCUCUCUCUCUCUCUCUCUCUCUCUCUCUCUCUCUCUUUCGGAAAAAAUAGAACGUUUUAUCAGUUAGUUACGAAAGUUCGUUUAUUUCUGUGAAAUUCCUUGCUAAA